CGGGGCUUAAUGUCUUGUAAUUGGAAUGAUGGGAAUUUAAACCUCUUCCAGAGUAUCAAUUGGAGGGCAAGUCUGGUGCCAGCAGCCGCGGUAAUUCCAGCUCCAAUAGCGUAUAUUAAAUUUGUUGCAGUUAAAAAGCUCGUAGUUGAAUUUCUGCUGCAUUACAUUUCUCUUGUUUGAGUAUGUUAUUGUGGCUUAUUUCGGAUUGAUUUUUAUCAUUCCGGAUGAUUACUUUGAGAAAAUUAGAGUGCUCAAAGCAGGCUAUUGCCUUGAAUAGUUUAGCAUGGAAUAAUAGAGUAGGACUUUGGUUCUAUUUUGUUGGUUUUAGGUCCCAAAGUAAUGGUUAAUAGGAACAGUUGGGGGCAUUCGUAUUUAACUGUCAGAGGUGAAAUUCUUAGAUUUGUUAAAGACGAACUACUGCGAAAGCAUUUGCCAAGGAUGUUUUCAUUAAUCAAGAAC
rnacentral:rRNA from 1 species